rnacentral:rRNA from 1 species
UACGUAGGGUGCAAGCGUUGUCCGGAAUUAUUGGGCGUAAAGAGCUCGUAGGCGGUUUGUCGCGUCGAAUGUGAAAACCCGGGGCUCAACCCCGGGCCUGCAUUCGAUACGGGCAGACUAGAGUUCGGUAGGGGAGUCUGGAAUUCCUGGUGUAGCGGUGAAAUGCGCAGAUAUCAGGAGGAACACCGGUGGCGAAGGCGGGACUCUGGGCCGAUACUGACGCUGAGGAGCGAAAGCGUUGGGAGCAAACAGG